GCACUGCAUUAAAUAUAGAAUAAUAUUCAUAGAUUACUUGAGCCAAAGAAACCAAUUUCUAAGUUUAAAACUGAAGAUUAAUCUUAGAAAUAUGUAAAUCAUUGAAGGAGAUGAGAUAAAUUAAUGCAUGAUAUUUGUUCCACGCAACAUUCACACAUAAAAGAGUAUAUUUUUCGAUACCAACAAACAAAACAGAGAGCAACAUAAAUAGGUACACAAAGUAGCCUAGUACCUAAGACAUGAGCAAAAUCCAAGAAAUGAAUUUUCUCAUGUACUGGGGGCUGUCUUAUUAAGCUUCAUCAUAUUCCUUUAUUUAGAUAAAACAUAACGACACAAACACAAGCUGCUUCGUUUGGUAUCCCAUCAUCCAUCGGUACGUUUGGUGACGAUCAGCAAUUGCAUGGAUCACAGUUGCAGUUUGAUCCACACUUGCAGGCAUGCCCUCCUUCAGCUCCAAAGUUCUUCUCAGACCCAUCAAAGUAACUGUAAUAUUCGCCAGAGUUUUAUAUUAUAGAUAUUUUUAAUUAGAGUACUGAUUCAAAGAAAAGAAAUUAAGGCUUAUUUCGGAUGAAUUAUACAUACGUCUUUGCUGGUGCAACCCCAACGAUGAUGGUGGCAGUUGUGGUGGUCUCUAUAUCAAGGUGCAUCCCGCAUCUGCACUCAAACAUUUUAGUAAUUUUGAAAGAAAGAAAUUUGUGUGCAUGUUUCGUACAUAACUAUGCUUUUAACUGAAUAUUUCUACAUGUUUGGAUGUGCGAAUGAGAUAUGUUAUAAGAAGUUUUACCCUCCACCGUUGCCACACUUGCAGUUAGAACCACAGCUACAAUUUGAUCCGCAGCUAGACAUUUUUCUUCAAAGUAGGAAAUUAAGAGUAUGGAUGAUGAAUGAAUUAAGGUUAUUCUACAU
rnacentral:lncRNA from 1 species